rnacentral:rRNA from 1 species
GGGGAAUAUUGGACAAUGGGCGCAAGCCUGAUCCAGCCAUGCCGCGUGAGUGAUGAAGGCCCUAGGGUUGUAAAGCUCUUUCAGUGGGGAAGAUAAUGACGGUACCCACAGAAGAAGCCCCGGCUAACUUCGUGCCAGCAGCCGCGGUAAUACGAAGGGGGCUAGCGUUGUUCGGAAUUACUGGGCGUAAAGCGCACGUAGGCGGAUUUUUAAGUCAGGGGUGAAAUCCCGGGGCUCAACCCCGGAACAGCCUUUGAUACUGGAGAUCUUGAGUCCGAGAGAGGUGAGUGGAAUUCCGAGUGUAGAGGUGAAAUUCGUAGAUAUUCGGAGGAACACCAGUGGCGAAGGCGGCUCACUGGCUCGGUACUGACGCUGAGGUGCGAAAGCGUGGGGAGCAAAC